AAAAAAAGAAAAGAGACGAAGAAGGAAAUAGAAAAGGAAAUGGAUGGGAAGGGUAAGUAAGGAGGAGGGAUUCGUAGAGAAUUUCAACACCGGCUUUGGGUCUACUCAAAUCUCUAUAAAGUUGGGAGGUAUUUAGUUCAGUUUGACGUGUGGAGGAAAUCGUUAAGAGUUGAUUGAUUUGGUGUCGUGUAUAGUUGCAGAGCUAAAAGAGGUUUAAUCCAGUUUUAUGCGAUUGAAAUUUGCUAAAUGUUAUUUGAAUAUAUAUAUAUAUAUUAUGAGAUUUUAUAGUUAAAGGUUUUAUGAUUCAGUUCCAAGAAGGAUUGAAAUUUCUGAAUAAAUUGUUUAUUGUUUAUUGAUAUUGCUUGUGGUUAUACAGUUGGAUAUUUAGUUUUGUUCUAUGAGAGACUGAAAUUUGCUAAUAUUAUUUUGGUUUGAUAUUUUGUAAGGCUGUACACCUGAAGGUGAUAUUACUCAAUUUCAUGGAUGAUUGAAUUGCUAAAUAAAU